AAGGAGGUGAUCCAGCCGCACGAAAUGGGUCGUAUGGCCUGGGCGCUGAAGCAGAAGAACCCGCAGGCGCUGUACGACGAGAUGGCCAGCAUGGCCGAGAAAAUGCGUGGCAAGGUCAGAUCCGUCAGCUGACCAAAAGGUCAGUUAUUUGCACCUGCAGGCUUGCCUGGCAUGGCCUGCAGGGGUAGGGUGGCCGCCCCGGCCUGCCUGCCGUCAUGACCUCGGAUAACUCGUGAAACCUGUCCCUCGGGCCCUGCUGCUAGUGGCCCUGGUGCUGGCGGCGAUCAAUUUGCGCCCCGGCAUCACCUCCCUUGCACCGCUGAUCGAGCGCAUCGCUGCGGAGCUGUCGCUGAGUCGCAGCUUCAUCAGUCUGACCACCGCCUUGCCGGUGCUGUGCAUGGGCCUGCUCGCGCCAUUGGCGCCGCGCCUGGCGAUGCGCUGGGGUCUCGAACGCACCAUCGUGCUUUGCCUUGGGCUGAUUGGCCUGGCGCUGCUGGCGCGUCUGGCCGCGCACCAGAGUGCGGUGCUGAUCGGCAGCGCCAUCGCUUUGGGCGCUGCCAUCGCGGUUGCCGGGCCUUUGCUGUCCGGGUUCAUCAAACGCCACUUCGCCAGCCAGAUGGGGCGUGUGGUGGGCUGGUAUUCACUGGGUAUGGCCAUCGGCGGUGCCGGUGGUGCGGUGCUCACUGCACCGGCCACCGCAAUGUUCGGCGACGCCUGGCAUCUGGGGCUGGCGGUAUGGGCGGCACCGGCGUUGUUCGGGGUGAUGCUCUGGCUGUGGCUACCCAAUCAGGCCAGCGCCGCUGACGAGCACGAAGGCGGUGGUCUGCCCUGGCGACAGUCGCGCGCCUGGCUGAUCAGUUGCUUCUUCGCCAUUCAGGCGGGCUUGUUCUAUGCCAUCGCGACCUGGGUGGUGGCGCGCUAUCACGAAGCGGGGCUGAGCCUGCUGCGCAGCAACUCGCUGCUGAGCAUUUCGAUGCUGAUGGGCUUGCCCAGCUCCUUCCUGCUGCCCUGGCUGGCGCAACGUUACAACGCCCGUUAUCCACUGCUGUUGGCCUGCGGCUGGAUCACCUCCUU
rnacentral:rRNA from 1 species